AUUUUUAUGGAGAGUUUGAUCCUGGCUCAGGAUGAACGCUGGCGGCGUGCCUAAUACAUGCAAGUCGAGCGAACGGACGAGGAGCUUGCUUCUCUGAUG
rnacentral:rRNA from 1 species